AGUUAAAAAUUUUAUCCAUUUGUAUUAUUAAAAACUGACCUAGCUGACAAAAAAACAAACAGUAACAUGUGAUGAUGUUCUACAUGUACUUUAUGCUGACAUACAAGAACCCUUUUAACAGUAUGAAUAGAUGAAACUUUUAACA
rfam:Gossypium arboreum cultivar AKA8401 contig_73097_1, whole genome shotgun sequence.